UACGUAGGGUGCGAGCGUUAAUCUGAUUUACUGGGCGUAAAGCGUGCGCAGGCGGCCCGUUAAGACAGGUGUGAAAUCCCUGGGCUCAACCUAGGAAUUGCGCUUGUGACUGGCGGGCUCGAGUACGGUAGAGGGGGGUGGAAUUCCUGGUGUAGCAGUGAAAUGCGUAGAGAUCAGGAGGAACACCGAUGGCGAAGGCAGCCCCCUGGGCCUGUACUGACGCUCAUGCACGAAAGCGUGGGGGGCAAACAGG
rnacentral:rRNA from 1 species